rnacentral:lncRNA from 1 species
CCUGCAUGUUACAGAGUCGGCACCUUUGUUUUCCCGAGUUUUGGUUAAGAUCAUCACCAUGGUAAUGCAGUCCUGCGUCGGAGUCCAUCAGAGCCCAGGCAAAGGUCGUUGUCAGCCAUGCUCUGGCCAAGCUCCCAUUUCAGUGCAUUUUCCCCCAAAAGGGCUGAGAGCAGCGGGGGCUGCGGCCGGCGGCUCCCGUGGUGGCGGCGCGGCGGCGCGGCCCGGCCGGGGCCGGCUGUGGGCACCGCUCCGAGCCGCGCUCCCUCCCUCCUGCCGCCGCCGCCGUGCUGCGGGCGGGGAGGGCGGAGGAGGAGGAGAGGAGGAGGAGGAGGAGGAGGAGGAGGGAGGAAAUGCGCUUGUCACUUCCUGAGCGGGGCCGGCGCGGAGGCAGGGCCCGGCCCGCACCUGCGGAGCUCCGCGUCCGCCGCCCCCCGGCGCUGCCCCGCAGCCGCUCCCGGGACGGCCCCGCCGCGCCCCGCGCCCGGGCUCCGCUUCCCCGCCGUCGCCCCGCGGAGCGCCCGGGGAGGAGCGCGGCAGGGGAGCGCCGCCACCCCGCUCCCCGCGGACACGGGCACUGCGCGGGGCGCUCGGGACGCGUGCUCGGGGCCGGCGGCUCCAUCGGGCGGCCGAGAGUGCCUCCUGCCGGCACCCGGGGGAAGACACCCCGCCGUGCGCCGCUUCCUUUCCGGCCG